GCUGGGCGUGGUGGCGUGUGCCUGUAAUCCCAGCUACUAGGGAGGCUGAGGCACGAACAUCGCUUGAACCCAAGAGGCAGAGGUUGCAGUGACCCAAGAUCGCGCCACUGCACUCAAGUCUGGUGACAGAGUGAGACUCCAUCUCAAAAAAAAAAAAAAAAAAAAAUUGAAUCCUUUUUUUUGAGAUGUAGUCUCACUCUCCCAGGCUGGAGUGCAGUGGCACAAUCUCAGCUCACUGCAAACUCUGCAUCCCAGGUUCAAAUGAUUCUCCUGCCUCA
rnacentral:sRNA from 1 species